CCCCCAAAGGCACAGGAUGAGAAUGUGAGGGACAGUUCUCUUAAAGCAACAGUGGAGUCAUUAAGCAAGGCAAAGGGAAUAUAUACUGGGUGCAAACUCCAGGUGUCUCUUACAACAUACUUUGCAGUUGGGAGCCACUCAAAGCCUCUGGUUGCUAAGCAGCUGUGUAGAGAGUAACCAACCUCGCCGUGGUUGCCACCAUUCUGAGACGGAGCACUCAAGAGAUGUGGCCCUUCUUUCCACUUAUGUCAUAAUCAUAAAAUGGUUAUUUAUUGCCAAGCUUUCAAGUAGUCUUCCGAAUGCUCUCAUAACACCUACAAGCUAUUCAGGGAUCACCAGGAUUCCGCAGGACCCAUUUAAGAGGCACUUCCAGAGACACUCCAAUGAUGUUGACAUAGCAGAUUUGUUAGUCUCAUUUUAUGAGACAUCAUCAGUUACUUGAGACGCAAGGGGCAGAAAUACUCAACCAAAGUCACAGGACUUAUUAGUGACAGAGUUUGGACUGGCUCUGAAUCCCAGGUCUGGACCUUUCUUACAAUGUCUUUGCAGAUUGAACACAAGGAGGUUCAACCGUCCAUAUCAAAUAUGGCGGAACUGACUUAAUUGUUAAAGAUCAACCUUAUGUUAUUAAAAGUGCUUUCUU